CCUACGGGUGGCAGCAGUGGGGAAUAUUGCGCAAUGGGCGAAAGCCUGACGCAGCGACGCCGCGUGAGGGAUGAAGGUCUUCGGAUCGUAAACCUCUGUCAGCAGGGAAGAACGGUCACUGUGCUAAUCAGCAGUGAAUUGACGGUACCUGCAAAGGAAGCACCGGCUAACUCCGUGCCAGCAGCCGCGGUAAUACGGAGGGUGCGAGCGUUAAUCGGAAUUACUGGGCGGAAAGCGCUCGUAGGCGGUAUGUCAAGUCAAGGGUGAAAUCCCCGCGCUCAACGUGGGAACUGCCUUUGAAACUGGCAAACUGGAGUGUGUGAGAGGAUAGUGGAAUUCCAGGUGUAGGGGUGAAAUGCGUAGAUAUCUGGAGGAACAUCAGUGGCGAAGGCGACUAUCUGGCACAUAACUGACGCUGAGGAGCGAAAGCGUGGGUAGCAAACAGGAUUAGAUACCCGGGUAGUC
rnacentral:rRNA from 1 species